GGAGGCCUAGGAGAGGCAUCGGGCUCCGGCAAAGCAACCUUCUGAUCGAUGCGAGAACCCUGAUGAUGCAACAAUCCUGAUGAUCUGAGAGGAGGAGCAGGCCUAGGAGAGGCAUCCUGCACCAGCGGAACAACCUGAUGACAACGAGCUUCGAUAACAACUCCGCUGUUGCGCAUCAGUGCCGGUGAGUGAAC